UCAAGUGAACACAACUACUCUACAAUACUGUCCUCGUCAGAACACACCAUCAGUGACAUUAGAACAUUUCAAGUGUUCAUACUUCUACAUUAAGCAAAAGAUGAACAUUUCAUUGCUGCUAUGUGGAUGCAUCACCGUAGCUUUGCUAUAUCCGGCGGAAGGAGGCCAUAGUUGCCCUGGAUCAUGCCAGAGGCCACAAAAGCCAAGGUGCAGAGACUUCAAACCAGGAGAAAAACAUAUCAAUCCACGCUACUUCCCUAAAAACGGAAAUUGUGUUGCAGUUUCUUCAGAACACUGCCAAGGAAAAUUUUACACUACGAAGAACGAUUGCAUGAACUGCUGUAAAUCUUAUUUGCAAUAAACUUUACCAGAACCGUA